ACUUUCUUUUUCCCUUCUUUAUUUCAUCGGCUUUGUGAUUGUUUGAUGUAUGUUGUCGUGUUCGGCUUCAUUUCUGAGCUUUCAUGUCACUGAGUGUUGAAUUAAUUGUUAUUGUUUUAUGCUAAUUGAUUUUAGUAGAAAUGGAAUAGCUAGCUUGAGAACAUCACUUACACUGCUAACAUAGUGCAAAUUCCUGAUUAUUUGUCAUAUGCUGCUAUAUUUUAGCAUUUUUUUCAAUGCUGUGUUUGAUGUUGCUUAAAUAACGCACUUGGUCUUAUAAUGUCUUUAUGGCUUCUGUAGUCUCUGACUAUGUAAAUGUUUAGUUAAGGAAGGGAAAGAGUGAUAUCCGAUUUCACACAAAAAGUUUGAUGCUUAAACCCCUGGUAGUCUUAGUCAUCAUAUAUUUGGACAGUAGGAGCAGUUAAUAAAAAUACCACCUUGAAUAUCAGUAAGAGAACAUAGAUCCGAGUUCAGUAGUUUGUGGGAGGUAGUUAUAGGCUUUUAGCAUUGGACCAACAACUCAAAUUUCAUAUUUUGUGAAUUGAAUUCACCUUUUGAUGGUUUCAAAAAGCUAAGGGAAAAUUCGACUUUUCACCUUCUCAUAUCCUACAGCCCUGUUCAGUUCCAUAGCGUUCUAGGGUCUUCCGUUCAUUUUCCAUCUUGUAGUUCUUUCCCGGUAACUAAUUUGCUGAUUUUGUUCACUGCAAUACCUCUUCCUUUCAGGCUUCACUUCCUUCUACAUCUUUCACUCCAGUAUUUCUCUCUCUGUUUGGCUUCUUCAUGCUCUUUCUGCUGUAACUACUGCUGAUUUUGUAUACUGAAUUCUGAAUAAUAAUAGGGAGGAAUUGUAGAUUUUUCUCAUACAGAAAUAGUUCAGGAUGUCCCAGAUGGGAAAAAGGUUAAUAAAACCCAGGAGAAGAUAUUCUCACGGGCUUUGAUGUUAGAAUUCAAAACCAAACAAGGAGUUUGUGGGAAGAAGUAGGGUUCUGAAAGGAGAAUAAUGAUGACGAUGAUAGGCUGAUGUUACCACUUUAAGCCUGAAGAAAACAGGAUCUUCUAGAUUCACAUACCGUCUCUCUGUAGUUUGUGAAGAUAUUUAGAAGUGCAAAGUCUGCUUGAUCUUCAUUUUGAGCAUUGAAAAAUGUUUUUCCUCUCUUAUGAAAGAGUUGUGUUGCUAACUGUAAGGUAUGAUUGUCAUGAAGAACAUUAUGUUUGAAUUUUUUGGGUUUUGGAAGUGGAUCCGUUGUGUUAUUUAUACCAUCUUAGAAAGUCGUUUUGUCAAACUGAGAUUAAAAUAGAAAUAAGGACUGUAGUAAGGCAUUUUAUGAAGAGAAUCUGGCAUAUGUUGCUGGCUUUUAUGAAAUAAUUAUAGUUGGUGAUGUGUCAAAUAGCUUGAUGAUGUUAUGCAGAGUAUGUUCAAUAUACAUAAUUGCUUGUGUUACCUACCUUGGGAUUUCUCAAUGAACGUGUGAAUUGAAUAAUAUCAGGUAGUUGAUAGACAACUGCCAGGUAAUUUCUUUUUAAUUCAUUGCUUUUUCAAAAUUUCAUGCUUAAUGAAUGAGUCUCGCUCAAAUAUAUGUUGUUAGAGUAUUUAGAUGUUACUAGCCUGCCUGUUUUUCCAGAACAAGAAAGGUCACUCAGCUUGAUUUUUCUAGGGGAUUUCAUGGGUCAUUAUGUAAAUUUUGUCAUUUAACACACCUUUCACGUCUCCACAUUUACAUGCCAAUGAAAUGGUUGAGACUUUUGGCUACUUGAUCGGGAUGUAAUCAAUUUCUUAACCGUAAGGGGAUUACAAAACAUAAAUGCCAGGUUAAAAAUCCAAAAUCAACCUAGAAUUAUUAAUAAGCAGACAUAGAUAGUGAAUCAAUCAUGGGUGUACUGUGUUGCCGUCAUUCUUGCUGAUUGAUUAUUACUACUAUUUUCAUAUAAUUGGUAUUAGUGUUUUGGCCAGCGAUCGCUUCCGCCUCUUUCUUUUUAGAUUCUAAUGAAGAUAGAUUGCAGAAAAGGAAGCGUAGUGCGAAAGAACAGAGGAGUAUAAACCAAGGCUAUGGUGGUGAAGAACAGAGGAGUAUAAACCAAGGCUAUGGUGGUGGCGGCGAUGAUCACCUUAUACCAUUCCGGAGAAAAUGCGAUCCAUCCACUAUUGCCAUCAACCACGAUGGACGUCGCCGAAGGGAGCAAGUUUAGAGUUGAACAUAUUGGCUCAGAGAAGAGACAAGAUCAACACACAAUGAGGAAAUUCUCUCUACCACAAACAUAGGAUGGAAAUAAAGCUCCUACUUUGAAGAAGUACUGGAAGGUAUUACUUUGUUGAUUAGAACUUCAAUUUCGCAAGUAACAAACCUUUUGUCUAAUAAUGCCACCAAUAAAAUGACGUCCUGAUUUUCUUUUCA